rnacentral:pre_miRNA from 1 species
AUUACAUUCGGAUCGUCCGUCUAACGAGUAAUUUCACCCGCUCAGUCGAAGAGAUUCCCUGUGUCGU